rnacentral:tRNA from 1 species
CAGUAUUUAGUUUAUUUUAAAAUAUAAUAUUUGGGUUAUUAAGAUUAUUUACUGA